UCCAUGAGCAGGAGAUGUUUACAGUACUUUGAGAAAAACUGAGUAACUUGCCUCCUUAGUGUAUUUACCUGUCUUAACUUUCUUUCUAUUUCCCAUUUCCCACUGUUUCUUACAUCUAAAAUCUGUCCUUUCAGUCUCUUUAUAAGACCCCUUUAGUAAAAAGAAAGUCAUCAAUAGAAGAAAGGAGUUAUAAUAGCGGGAAAACAGAGGGGGUUUUAGGAGAGGUUUCUUUAGAGGUGAGUGUGGCAAUAGAACUGAGAGAAACAGGAAUUUGGGACUCUUGAGCCAGAUCAGAUUUCAAUACAUCAUUGCCAAUUUGCCUCAUGGAGAGUUUGUUGUUAGUCACAAACACAAUGACUCCUGUGACCAGAGUAACAAUUGUAAACAUCAUGGCAAGAAAAAAUAAAACCUGAGGGUGCGAUGUGUUCCACCCUCCUUUUCCCCCAGCUGGAACUUUGUCAAGCAGCAUUGGAGGUCAGUCGGGCUUCUCCAGAAUUCACUUCUGAAGAAUUCAGCUCUUCUUUCUUCUGAAAGGAGGCUUACCAAUCAGAAUCAUGGGAAGGAAGUAACUUGGCAGACAUACUGAGCCAGAUUUCUGAGCAAAAAGAUUUUUCCUAAGGCUAGCUGACCUAACUGAAAAAGAGCCACCCCCAGCUCGAACCCCCUCCCACACCUAUGUCUUCCAUUGUCCUUUGUUCUCAGGAAGUGUCUGUAUCCAGUGUACUUUUCUAUCAAAUCAUGUAAACUAAAUGUAACUGCUCAACCAAUGAACUGAUGAUAAAUGCCUUGCUUAUGUAUCCCCACCCUCUUUCCCUUAGCCCAUAUAAACCCUGUUCACUGCCAGCUCAGGGCUGAUUGCUUUGUGGAGAAAUCCCCGAUCAGUCUGCUGGCGUAAUAAACUUGCCUCCAACCUGCGGUGCGGUUUUUUAUUCUUCUUGGCCUGAUCUUGCUCUACCACUAAGAGCUGCCACACUGCAAACUCUAAAUCUGCCAUUACGAUACUAAUCUCCAGGAGUUUAACGUCUCAAGCCCUAAUACACACCGCAGGCUUCUUUUCUGACAUAAAAACCUAGUUUUCCUCUCCAAAACUGUCAAGAGGAAAAAGCUUCAAGAUUAUAUCUAGAUCUAUGUAAACCACUAGAUUGCCUAUCUAGUAUUUCUCUUUUUCUGCAGAAAAUCACAGAAAGAAUAACACGAGGCAAGGUUUAGACAAGAAUCUGAUGACCGGCUCGUAGACAAAAUUGUGCAAUCCCAGUUCCUGAUUUACUUUACAGCACGUUCAUCCAGCACGGCCCCACCCGCCCAAUUCCCAGGAAAGGGUUGCAAAUAUUUUUCAGUACUGGGUACUGAACACUGGGGGUACGGAGGGGCAUCCCCAGCCCUUUUCCCUUGUUUGUUUGGUGUUUUGGGUUUUUUUGUACCGGGGAUCGAACUCGGGUUCUUCCGUUUGCGAGUAGGUGGCGAAACCACUGAGCUAAAUCCCUGGCCCUUUCCCUUCUUGUUUAGAGACAAGGUCUCCCUAAAUUGCUCAGGCAGAGCUUAGAUUUACGAUCCUCCCGCCUCAGCCUCCCAGACUGCUGAAAUUACAGGCAUCUUCCA
rnacentral:lncRNA from 1 species